rnacentral:rRNA from 1 species
UACGUAGGGUGCAAGCGUUAAUCGGAAUUACUGGGCGUAAAGCGUGCGCAGGCGGUUUUGUAAGUCAGAUGUGAAAUCCCCGGGCUUAACCUGGGAACUGCGUUUGAAACUACAAGGCUAGAGUGUGGCAGAGGAGGGUGGAAUUCCUGGUGUAGCGGUGAAAUGCGUAGAGAUCAGGAGGAACACCCGUGGCGAAGGCGGCCCUCUGGCUCGACCCUGACGCUGAGGCGCGAAAGCGUGGGGAGCGAACGGG